rnacentral:lncRNA from 1 species
UAUUGAGAGACGAUCGUGAAAGUUCUGGUAACGGAUCGUGAAAGACAUUUAAUCGAGAAGACAUGUGAAAGGUCAGUAAAUAUUCUAAUUUAAUUAAUUACACAGACACAUUUACGACAAAAUAAAACUGUCUGUCAAAAUGGUUCAACAUUAUGAUCAGUAUGUGAGAAUAUCCAGUUUCAAAAGUACAUAUUUAUUACAAAACGACAAAAGGCAG